CAUUCGAAACCUUGAUUUUCUUGAAAUGUGGAGACCCUUUUUUGAGCAAUAUCAUUUGAUUAUUGUUCAGGAUGGUGAUCCUUCAAAGACCAUUAAGGUCCCUGAAGGGUUUGAUUAUGAGUUAUAUAAUCGAAAUGAUAUUAAUAGGAUUUUGGGUCCUAAGGCUUCUUGCAUCUCGUUCAAGGACUCAGCUUGUAGGUGUUUUGGGUACAUGGUUUCCAAGAAGAAGUACAUCUAUACCAUUGAUGAUGAUUGCUUUGUAAGUGUUUUGUGUUUUCUUGAUUGCCCUUUUUGUGAUUUGGUUUGAAUCUGGUUGUUGAGUGGGGUUUUUGGAGCUUGAUUUUGGUUGGUGGGGGUGUUUUUAGGUAACGAUUUGAUUGAUUUGUAUAUGUUUUGCAUUUCUUGACUACCAUUUUUGUGAUUUGGUUUGGAUCUGGUUCCUGAUUUGUGUUUCAGUGUUUAAUUUGUGGGGUUUUGAUGGGGUUUAAUUGUUUAUAGGGUUUUAGGCUUAUAACUUGAUUUGUGUUAAAGGGUUGUUUAAAUUUUGCCUCUUGACUUGGUUUGACCGUAAAAGCUUGAAUCUUGAUUUGGUUUUUACUCUUUAGCUACACUGAUUGCAUAAUGUCAAUUAUAUGUUUGGAUCUGGAUUUACAUUCUUGGAUUUAAUACACAUUUGCUAUUGUCCAAGCUAUAAUAUCUAACUGUUAAUUACUGCAUUUGUAGAUCUGCAACUGAUCUCUAUUAUCUCUAAAUAGAUCUGUCUGAUAGUAUUAGUUAAAUGGUGCUGCAUACUGCCAUUGGAAAUGUAUAUUGUUGUGAAGUUAUCAUUUAAAAUAUGUACGUAUGUUAAUUAUCACAUUGAUGCAUUUUGGUUUUUAUUAAUUAUGGUUUUAAAAUUUUUGAAUUUUAUGUGUAGGUUGCCAAAGAUCCUUCCGGCAAAGAAAUUAAUGCACUUGAGCAGCACAUCAAGAACCUGCUGAGCCCAGCAACUCCAUUCUUCUUCAACACCCUGUAUGAUCCUUACAGAGAUGGUGCUGACUUUGUCCGUGGUUACCCAUUCAGUCUUCGGGAGGGUGCCCCUACUGCAGUAUCCCAUGGCCUCUGGCUUAACAUCCCAGAUUAUGACGCACCCACUCAGCUUGUUAAGCCUCGUGAGAGGAACACUAGGUAUAAGACACAUUGUUUUUGGCCUGUCAUUAAUUUACCAACUUGUUUCUGUUGUCAGACUUUGAACUCUAUUCCUUGUUUAUCAGGUAUGUUGAUGCAGUGCUGACCAUCCCUAAGGGAACUCUCUUCCCCAUGUGUGGUAUGAACUUGGGAUUCGACCGUGAACUAAUUGGCCCUGCAAUGUACUUCGGCCUUAUGGGUGAUGGUCAGCCAAUUGGACGUUACGACGACAUGUGGGCUGGUUGGUGCAUCAAGGUAUUAUCGGCUUUCUUUUUAUUCUCAGGCCGCACUUCAAUAAUUUCAAUUGGUGUAGUUGUUGCAUUUUGGUCGGGUUAUAGUUAAGCUUGUUGCAUUUGAUACAAAUGAAUAUAUGAAGCUUAAAUUUCUCCCUUACUAAACAGUUCAAUUCUGUCUCUCAUUUUAAGCUUCCGUCAAUUGUUGAUGUAAAUCAUGUCCAUAGUCGAGUCCUAUUUCUCAUAUUAGUCCAGACAUUGUCACCUUUACUAAUGGCUAUUCGCUUUUGACAUUUGUAGGUGAUCUGUGAUCACAUGGGCUGGGGAGUGAAGACUGGACUGCCAUACAUCUGGCACAGCAAAGCAAGCAACCCAUUUGUGAACUUGAAGAAAGAAUACAAAGGUAUCUACUGGCAAGAAGAGCUGAUCCCCUUUUUCCAGGCUGUUAAGCUUCCUAAAGAGUGCACCACUGUUCAGCAAUGCUACCUUGAGCUCUCGAAAGAGGUGAAGGCAAAGCUUGGAAAGGUGGACGAUUACUUCAUCAAGCUUGCCGAUGCCAUGGUUACAUGGAUCGAAGCUUGGGAUGAGUUGAACCCAUCCGGUGCCUCUGCAGCGACAGCUACAGCUGCCAAGGUCUCCAAUGGCCCCAAGAAAUAGAGAAUUAGC
rnacentral:lncRNA from 1 species